rnacentral:tRNA from 1 species
GGGGGUUUAGCUCAGCUGGUUAGAGUGCCUGCAUCACACGCAGGAAGUCUGGGGUUCGAGUCCCUAAAUCCCCACCA